AGAGUUUGAUCCUGGCUCAGGAUGAACGCUAGCGGCAGGCCUAAUACAUGCAAGCCGAACGGUAAGAUUGGUAGCAAUACUGAUCUGAGAGUGGCGUACGGGUGCGUAACACGUAUGCAACCUACCCAGAACUGGAGGAUAGCUCAGGGAAACUUGGAUUAACCCUCCAUAAGAUCGUGUCCAGGCAUCUGGGUGCGAUAAAAACCUUCGGGUGGUUCUGGAUGGGCAUGCGCAUGAUUAGUUAGUUGGUAGUGUAACGGACUACCAAGACGAUGAUCAUUAGGGGACCUGAGAGGGUGAUCCCCCACACUGGCACUGAGAUACGGGCCAGACUCCUACGGGAGGCAGCAGUAGGGAAUAUUGGUCAAUGGGUGCAAGCCUGAACCAGCCAUGCCGCGUGCAGGAAGACGGCCUUCUGGGUUGUAAACUGCUUUUACCAGGGGAUAAAAGGCCCAUGCGUGGGACAUUGAAGGUACCUGGUGAAUAAGCCACGGCUAACUACGUGCCAGCAGCCGCGGUAAUACGUAGGUGGCGAGCGUUGUCCGGAUUUAUUGGGUUUAAAGGGUGCGUAGGCGUCCUGACAAGUUUUAGGUGAAAUGCCCAGGCUCAACCUGGGAGCUGCCUGAAAAACUGUUGGGAUUGAGUACAGACGAGGUAGGCGGAAUUGACGGUGUAGCGGUGAAAUGCAUAGAUAUCGUCAGGAACACCAAUAGCGUAGGCAGCUUACUAGACUGUAACUGACGCUGAGGCACGAAAGUGUGGGGAUCAAACAGGAUUAGAUACCCUGGUAGUCCACACUGUAAACGUUGAUGACUCGCUGUGUGCGAUAUACAGUACGCGGCCAAGCGAAAGCGAUAAGUCAUCCACCUGGGGAGUACGCCGGCAACGGUGAAACUCAAAGGAAUUGACGG
rnacentral:rRNA from 1 species